rnacentral:snRNA from 1 species
GUGCUUGCUUCAGCACAUAUACUAAAUUGGAACGAUACAGAGAAGAUUAGCAUGGCCCUGUGCAGGGAUGACACACAAAUUCAUGAAGCGUUCCAUAUUUUU